GAGUUUUUUGACCUGCUCAGGACGAACGCUGGCGGCGUGCCUAAUACAUGCAAGUCGAGCGCUGGAAGCUAAUUUCAUCCCUUCGGGAUGAAGUUAGUGGAAAGAGCGGCGGACGGGUGAGUAACACGUGGGCAACCUACCUAUAAGACUGGGAUAACUCGCGGAAACGUGAGCUAAUACCGGAUAAUACUUUUUAUUGCAUAAUAAGAAGUUUGAAAGGCGGCGUAAGCUGUCACUUAUAGAUGGGCCCGCGGCGCAUUAGCUAGUUGGUGAGGUAAAGGCUCACCAAGGCAACGAUGCGUAGCCGACCUGAGAGGGUGAUCGGCCACACUGGGACUGAGACACGGCCCAGACUCCUACGGGAGGCAGCAGUAGGGAAUCUUCCGCAAUGGACGAAAGUCUGACGGAGCAACGCCGCGUGAGUGAAGAAGGUUUUCGGAUCGUAAAACUCUGUUGUUAGGGAAGAACAAGUCAGGUAGUAACUGACCUGACCUUGACGGUACCUAACCAGAAAGCCACGGCUAACUACGUGCCAGCAGCCGCGGUAAUACGUAGGUGGCAAGCGUUGUCCGGAUUUAUUGGGCGUAAAGCGCUCGCAGGCGGUCUUUUAAGUCUGAUGUGAAAGCCCACGGCUUAACCGUGGAGGGUCAUUGGAAACUGGAGGACUUGAGUGCAGAAGAGGAGAGUGGAAAUUCCAUGUGUAGCGGUGAAAUGCGUAGAGAUAUGGAGGGAACACCAGUGGCGGAAAGGCGGACUCUCUGGUCUGUAACUGACGCUGAGGAG
rnacentral:rRNA from 1 species